rnacentral:rRNA from 1 species
AUUGAACGCUGGCGGCAUGCCUUACACAUGCAAGUCGAACGGCAGCACGGGAGCAAUCCUGGUGGCGAGUGGCGAACGGGUGAGUAAAGUAUCGGAACGUGCCCAGUCGUGGGGGAUAACGUAGCGAAAGUUACGCUAAUACCGCAUACGCUCUAUGGAUGAAAGCGGGGGAGCGCAAGACCUCGCGCGAUUGGAGCGGCCGAUAUCAGAUUAGGUAGUUGGUGGGGUAAAGGCUCACCAAGCCGACGAUCUGUAGCUGGUCUGAGAGGACGAACAGCCACACUGGGACUGAGACACGGCCCAGACUCCUACGGGAGGCAGCAGUGGGGAAUUUUGGACAAUGGGCGAAAGCCUGAUCCAGCCAUGCCGCGUGCAGGAUGAAGGCCUUCGGGUUGUAAACUGCUUUUGUACGGAACGAAAAGGUUUGGGCUAAUAAGCUGAGCUCAUGACGGUACCGUAAGAAUAAGCACCGGCUAACUACGUGCCAGCCGCCGCAGUAA